rnacentral:rRNA from 1 species
AGUGAACGCUGGCGGUAGGCCUAACACAUGCAAGUCGAACGGCAGCACAGGAGAGCUUGCUCCCUGGGUGGCGAGUGGCGGACGGGUGAGGAAUACAUCGGAAUCUACUUUUUCGUGGGGGAUAACGUAGGGAAACUUACGCUAAUACCGCAUACGACCUACGGGUGAAAGCAGGGGAUCUUCGGACCUUGCGCGAUUGAAUGAGCCGAUGUCGGAUUAGCUAGUUGGCGGGGUAAAGGCCCACCAAGGCGACGAUCCGUAGCUGGUCUGAGAGGAUGAUCAGCCACACUGGAACUGAGACACGGUCCAGACUCCUACGGGAGGCAGGAGUGGGGAAUAGUGGACAAUGGGCGCAAGCCUGAUCCAGCCAUACCGCGUGGGUGAAGAAGGCCUUCGGGUUGUAAAGCCCUUUUGUUGGGAAAGAAAUCCAGCUGGUUAAUACCCGGUUGGGAUGACGGUACCCAAAGAAUAAGCACCGGCUAACUUCGUGCCAGCCGCCGCCGUAA